GCCACCUUCUUGAAAUGGAUCCGACAACCGUUGACCAGAGCAACUCAGACUCAUUGGAAACAUCAACGGGAAACCAUUCAAGCUACGGAGACUUUUCACCUUCUUUCUUUGUUUCCAUAAAUCUGAUGGACGCAGCACAAGAGCCUUGUGAAGAGAAGGAGAUGUGCAACCAAGAAGGCUAGUGGAAUACUGGAAUGGAGGUGACCACAAAAGCUGAGAAACGAGCUAUUCAAGAUGUUUCGAUUAAGAAGAAAAAUCUGUAGAUGUUUUUUUUUUUGUCUGAGUUUUUUUGUAACAAAAUUAUAGAAUAAAACAAAAAGCAUAAUGUGUUUUUAUGAUAAGAACCCACAAAACAAUUGAAGACAAAUAAUCCCAAUAGGAUUAGUGUAAAAU